CUGACCAUAUCCUUCUUAAGUGUUUAAUUGUUGUUGCUUUGUUUGGGUUUUUUUCUCUCCUUUUGGGAGCAGAAGGAAAAGCUACUGGUGAUGGCAGAGAAGCAGGGAAGUACACAGUGCUGAAGCAAUCCAGUGUACUCCCUAGACUGACCAUUCACAUCUGAUGCAAUUCUACACAACCACCUCUGCAGAACCCAAGAGAAUGACUAUUUCUGUCUGCCUUCGCACAGCCCAUAUCACUGGCAUAUCUCAAUAGUUCAAACAGGUCUUUACAUGUGCUAGCUCUAACUCACAUGAUGCCGACGUGCCUGAAACCCUUUCCUGUCCUAAACACGGAUGGCAUCUGUUCAGGCAUGUAAUCCCAGAUCUUUCCUGUUCCGAAGGAUACCCUGAAUUUUCAUCUGGCAGUUAUAUCCAAUUACUGACAUAACUAAUAGUCACAACUGAAUGCCACCAAAUGAGUUUCAUGUGUUUUCAACCUGUUUCUGCUUCUGACCCAGGAAACGAGCAUGCCCCUCAACUGCCCAUGUGAAACACAAUCCACAUCCAAUCUAAAUUGACAUUACUCUUGAUUUACUGUGACUAGUCAAUAAAAAGGGGCUGCCAAAAUCAA